CGAAGGGGCUAGCGUUGUUCGGAAUCACUGGGCGUAAAGGGUGCGUAGGCGGAUUCUUAAGUCAGGGGUGAAAUCCCGAAGGCCUCAACCUCGGAACUGCCCUUGAUACUGGGGAUCUUGAGUCCGGAAGAGGUGAGUGGAACUGCGAGUGUAGAGGUGAAAUUCGUAGAUAUUCGCAAGAACACCAGUGGCGAAGGCGGCUCAACUGGUCCGGAACUGACGCUGAGGCACGACAGCGUGGGGAGCAAACAGGAUU
rnacentral:rRNA from 1 species